GUACAAACAGGUUCUCACAGACACAUACAGGUGUACACACAGGUUCUCACAGACACACACAGGUGUACAAACAGGUACUCACAGACACACACAGGUGUACACACAGGUUCUCACAGACACACACAGGUGUACACACAGGUUCUCACAGACACACACAGGUGUACAAACAGGUUCUCACAGACACACACAGGUGUACACACAGGUUCUCACAGACACAUACAGGUGUACACACAGGUUCUCACAGACACAUACAGGUGUACACACAGGUUCUCACAGACACAUACAGGUGUACACACAGGUUCUCACAGACACAUACAGGUGUACACACAGGUUCUCACAGACAUACACAGGUGUACACACAGGUUCUCACAGACA